rnacentral:rRNA from 1 species
UACGAAGGGAGCUAGCGUUACUCGGAAUCACUGGGCGUAAAGAGUGCGUAGGCGGUUUUGUAAGUCAGAAGUGAAAGCCCAGGGCUCAACCCUGGAAUUGCUUUUGAAACUGCAUAACUAGAGUGUCAUAGGGGAUAGCGGAAUUUCUAGUGUAGAGGUGAAAUUCGUAGAUAUUAGAAGGAACACCGGUGGCGAAGGCGGCUAUCUGGAUGACAACUGACGCUGUUGCACGAAAGCGUGGGGAGCAAACAGG